rnacentral:rRNA from 2 species
UACGUAGGUGGCGAGCGUUAUCCGGAAUUACUGGGCGUAAAGCGCAAGCAGGCGGUCUGUUAAGUUUGACGUAAAAUCUCCUGGCUUAACUGGGAGGGGUCGUUGGAGACUGGCAGACUUGAGGCGAUGAGAGGGGCAUGGAAUUCCCGGUGUAGUGGUGGAAUGCGUAGAGAUCGGGAGGAACACCAGAGGCGAAAGCGGUGCCCUGGCAUUGGCCUGACGCUGAGAUGCGAAAGCGUGGGGAGCGAACGGG